AAUAGAUACCCUGGUAGUCCACGCCGUAAACGAUGAGUGCUAAGUGUUAGAGGGUUUCCGCCCUUUAGUGCUGCAGCUAACGCAUUAAGCACUCCGCCUGGGGAGUACGGCCGCAAGGCUGAAACUCAAAGGAAUUGACGGGGGCCCGCACAAGCGGUGGAGCAUGUGGUUUAAUUCGAAGCAACGCGAAGAACCUUACCAGGUCUUGACAUCCUCUGCCAACCCUAGAGAUAGGGCGUUCCCCUUCGGGGGACAGAGUGACAGGUGGUGCAUGGUUGUCGUCAGCUUGUGUCGUGAGAUGUUGGGUUAAGUCCCGCAACGAGCGCAACCCUUGAUCUUAGUUGCCAGCAUUCAGUUGGGCACUCUAAGGUGACUGCCGGUGACAAACCGGAGGAAGGUGGGGAUGACGUCAAAUCAUCAUGCCCCUUAUGACCUGGGCUACACACGUGCUACAAUGGAUGGUACAAAGAGCUGCGAACCCGCGAGGGUAAGCCAAUCUCAUAAAGCCAUUCUCAGUUCGGAUUGU
rnacentral:rRNA from 1 species